rnacentral:rRNA from 1 species
AGAGUUUGAUCCUGGCUCAGGACGAACGCUGGCGGCGUGCCUAAUGCAUGCAAGUCGCACGCGCGGAGCUUGCUCCGUGAGUGGCGCACGGCUGAGGAACACGUGGGAACCUACCCUGCGGUGGGGGACAACAGGCCGAAAGGCCUGCUAAUCCCGCAUAGGCUUGGCGAAGGUCAAGCAAAGGCGCAAGCCGCCACAGGACGGGCCCGCGGCCCAUCAGGUUGUAGGCGGGGUAACGGCCCACCUAGCCCGUGACGGGUAGCUGGUCUGUGAGGACAGCCAGCCAGACUGGGACUGAGACACGGCCCAGACUCCUACGGGAGGCAGCAGCAAGGAAUUUUCGUCAAUGGGCGAGAGCCUGAACGAGCAACGCCGCGUGGCGGAUGACGGCCUUCGGGUUGUAAACGCCUUUUGGGGGGGAUGAUGGUGACAGUACCCCCCGAAUAAGGCUCGGCUAACUCUGUGCCAGCAGCCGCGGUAAGACAGAGGAGCCAAGCGUUGUCCGGAUUGACUGGGCGUAAAGGGCACGCAGGCGGCGCCGCGCGUGGGGUGUGAAAGCGGGUGGCUUAACUGCCCAAGGUCAUCCCAUACGGCGGUGCUGGAGCCAUCCAGAGGUCGGUGGAAUUGCCGGUGUAGUGGUGAAAUGCGUAGAGAUCGGCAGGAACACCCAGGGGGAAACCAGCCGACUGGGGAUGCGCUGACGCUGAGGUGCGAGAGCGUGGGGAGCGAAUCGGAUUAGAUACCCUCGUAGUCC